CACGUAGGUGGCGAGCGUUGUCCGGAAUUACUGGGUGUAAAGGGAGCGCAGGCGGGAAAUUAAGUUGGAUGUGAAAUACCGCAGCUCAACUGCGGGGCUGCAUCCAAAACUGGUUUUCUUGAGUGGAGUAGAGGUAGGCGGAAUUCCUAGUGUAGCGGUGAAAUGCGUGGAUAUUAGGAGGAACACCAGUGGCGAAGGCGGCCUACUGGGCUUUUACUGACGCUGAGGCUCGAAUGCGUGGGGAGCAAACAGG
rnacentral:rRNA from 1 species